rnacentral:rRNA from 1 species
UACAGAGGGUGCAAGCGUUGUUCGGAAUUAUUGGGCUGUUGAAAUGAAGGCUCGUAGGCGGCUUGGUCGCGUCGUCCGUGAAAACUUGGGGACUCAACCCCAAGCUUCGCGGUCGAUACGGGCUAGGACUGGAGUUCGGGUAGGGGAGACGUGGAAUUCCUGGUGUAGGCGGUGAAAUGCGCAGAUAUCAGGAGGAACACCGGUGGCGAAGGCGGGUCUCUGGGCCGAUACUGACGCUGAGGAGCGAAAGCGUGGGAGCGAACGG